GGAGCUAAGGAGGCAAUGAGUGGCUGAUCAAAUGGAAGAACUUACCAGACAGUGAAGCAACGUGGGAAUCAGUUUACCUAUUGAAUCAGCAGUUCCCUCAGUUUCACCUUGAGGACAAGGUGAACUUGGAGCCUCGGGGUAUUGUAAGACCUCCAAUUAUUCAUACAUAUCAAAGGAGGGGCAGAAAAGUAAUUGGACAAAUUAAUAAUGAGGAAGGAAAAAGAGGAGGAGAUCGUGCAGGUGGGGCCCAGGCACAGAAAUAAGAGAAAGAUGAGAGAAGGAAUAUAAAUAGGUUUUUUAGGUCUAGGGGAGGUAGCUUUUAUUUUUAUCCUGAAGUUGGCGGCUGCUUAGCCUAGAGGAAUAUCCAGUCUUUCCCUAGAGGAAGCUGGGUUUGUCUUCAUUAUUCCUUGUUUUUCUUGAAUCUUUAUGUUUUUCUGUACUCAUUUUGGCUAUAUAUAAAUAAAGAUAGCAGAGGGCUACCUCUGUUUUUGGCCA